UUUGUGCUAAACAUGAAAUAGAAAUCAAAUUCCUGCUUGCUGCAGGCACAUAAUAAUAAUCUCUAAGAAAUAAAUCUAAUCCUAAUGGUAAUUGCAGAGGGUAGGUUUUCACGACCACAAUAGCAACUUUUGCUCCAUUCUCGACGCGUAGGAUCAUCUCUCCAUCCCUCAGCCUCCUGCUCUCCUCAAGAUCCUGCAUAGAAGUGCACAAAUGAGCACUAGAACCAGAGUCAAGCACCCAACUGGAUGCAGAAGAAAUCAUAAGAUUAGAUUCUAAAAUGAGCAUACCUCUAGAAAGACCAUCCUUCUUGUUCUUCAGGGUGGCCAGGUACUGAGGACAGUUUCGCUUCCAAUGACCGUCUGAUUGGCAGUGGAAAUAUUUUCCC
rnacentral:lncRNA from 1 species